AGAAGAAGAAGAAGAAGAAGAAGAAGAAAAAGAAGAAGAAGGAUAGCAGUUCUGAUGAUAGCUCCUCUUCUAGUUCAUCCUCAUCUUCCUCCUCUGAUUCUGAUGAUGACAAG